AACACAAUUUUCGAUUUAUCAGAGUUUUAAAAGUCAUCCAUGUUCCCAGUCAAUUAACAGUAGAGGUGUGCGCCGCCGAGUUUUUAGCCGGCGGCGCGGCUGAGCCGAGUAAAUGGAGACGCCGCCGCUGAUACAAAAAUUUCAGCCAGCCGCCGACCGCCGCCGAUGCUUUUCGUCGGCUUG